GCGCGCGCGCGCCCCCGGCGGCCCUCCUGCCUCGGCGCCUUCAGGCCCAAGGUGAGGGCUCUAAUCGCCAGGCGCGCGGGAACGGCGGGCGUGUCUGGCGGUGAGGGUGGCGCUUGCCUCUCCCUCCCUCCCGGUGAGGGUGAUUUGGCGUUCAUUCCCUCCUCACAGUGUCAUUCGGAGCCAGGUUGGCACUGAGGCUUCUGCACGAGGAGGAUUAUUCAAGUUGGUCUGGCAGUGCUGUUCUUUGAAAAUCUGGCCUUCUGAAUGUUCUCAACUUGAUUUUGUGUAAUAACCUCUAAUACCUCCCUAGUUUUUCCAUGAACCAGUGUUUGAAAAGCGUGAACACUAAUAAAGAAACCCUUACCUUUUAAUGAAGAGCAGUGGGUCUUGGUGGGCCAGAGCUACGACUGGGCAAGUCCACUAUCAAAGUGGGGGGACACCCCUCUCUACUCUACCUUUGUCACUGCCCAAGUAUCUCUUUGCAUCUACUGAGUCUUCUGGAGGUUGGAGGGUAUGCUGGCUGGAGAGAGGAUGGGCGCCAGCAGCAGCUUGGCUGGAAGGGAUGACAGUGCCUAUCAAGUACCUGUUUCAUCAAUAUUAACUUGUUAAUAUCAUUAAAAUGUUUAGUAUGUACCCUGAUCUAAAGAAUCCUUUUGGAAAAAAAUAGGAUUUGAAGACUACUUUCUUAAUCUCAUUAUGGUUAUUUAGCAUUCUCUUUAAAGUCAGGAACAGAAUAGGAAUGCCAACUAUUACUGAAUUAAUUCGAUGUGCUUUAUUGUCAUGGCUAGCUAAGAAAAAAGAAAAAGCACUGAGGAUUACUUCUCUACCUGAAAAUUCCAAGUGGAUUUACAGACAGAUGGAAUACUUCUUAUUACAGAAAUAAUAAGAAUUCAUCAGGGUUGCCAUGUAUUUGAUCAGGAUAGAAUUAUUUGAAAUCUUAUUUGUCACUUUAAACAGUUCUUUUAAUGUAAUAAUAAAAAAUCACAGUUGAAAUAGUAGUAAAAACUU
rnacentral:lncRNA from 1 species